rnacentral:rRNA from 1 species
GAUGAACGCUAGCGGGAGGCCUAACACAUGCAAGCCGAGCGGUAUUGUUUCUUCGGAAAUGAGAGAGCGGCGUACGGGUGCGGAACACGUGUGCAACCUGCCUUUAUCUGGGGGACAGCCUUUCGAAAGGAAGAUUAAUACUCCAUAAUAUAUUGAUUGGCAUCAAUUAAUAUUGAAAGCUCCGGCGGAUAGAGAUGGGCACGCGCAAGAUUAGCUAGUUGGUGAGGUAACGGCUCACCAAGGCGAUGAUCUUUAGGGGGCCUGAGAGGGUGAUCCCCCACACUGGUACUGAGACACGGACCAGACUCCUACGGGAGGCAGCAGUGAGGAAUAUUGGUCAAUGGAUGCAGGCCUGAACCAGCCAUCCCGCGUGAAGGACGACUGCCCUAUGGGUUGUAAACUUCUUUUGUAUAGGGAUAAACCUACCCUCGUGAGGGUAGCUGAAGGUACUAUACGAAUAAGCACCGGCUAACUCCGUGCCAGCAGCCGCGGUAAUACGGAGGGUGCAAGCGUUAUCCGGAUUUAUUGGGUUUAAAGGGUCCGUAGGCGGACUUAUAAGUCAGUGGUGAAAGCCUGUCGCUUAACGAUAGAACUGCCAUUGAUACUGUAAGUCUUGAGUAUAUUUGAGGUAGCUGGAAUAAGUAGUGUAGCGGUGAAAUGCAUAGAUAUUACUUAGAACACCAAUUGCGAAGGCAGGUUACCAAGAUAUAACUGACGCUGAGGGACGAAGGCGUGGGGAGCGAACAGGAUUAGAUACCCUGGUAGUCCACGCCGUAAACGAUGCUAACUCGUUUUUGGGCUUUAGGGUUCAGAGACCAAGCGAAAGUGAUAAGUUAGCCACCUGGGGAGUACGCUCGCAAGAGUGAAACUCAAAGGAAUUGACGGGGGCCCGCACAAGCGGUGGAUUAUGUGGUUUAAUUCGAUGAUACGCGAGGAACCUUACCAAGACUUAAAUGGGAAUUGACAGCUUUAGAAAUAGAGCUUUCUUCGGACAAUUUUCAAGGUGCUGCAUGGUUGUCGUCAGCUCGUGCCGUGAGGUGUUAGGUUAAGUCCUGCAACGAGCGCAACCCCUGUCACUAGUUGCCAUCAUUCAGUUGGGGACUCUAGUGAGACUGCCUACGCAAGUAGAGAGGAAGGUGGGGAUGACGUCAAAUCAUCACGGCCCUUACGUCUUGGGCCACACACGUAAUACAAUGGCCGGUACAGAGGGCAGCUACACAGCGAUGUGAUGCAAAUCUCGAAAGCCGGUCUCAGUUCGGAUUGGAGUCAGCAACUCGACUCUAUGAAGCUGGAAUCGCUAGUAAUCGCGCAUCAGCCAUGGCGCGGUGAAUACGUUCCCGGGCCU